UACGGGGGGUGCGAGCGUUGUCCGGAAUCACUGGGCGUAAAGGGCGCGUAGGUGGUCUGAUAAGGGUGUGGUGAAAGUCCGGGGCUCAACCCCGGAUCUGCCGUGCCGACUGUCAGACUCAAGGACUGUAGAGGCAGGCGGAAUUCCGGGUGUAGCGGUGGAAUGCGUAGAGAUCCGGAGGAAGACCGGUGGCGAAGGCGGCCUGCUGGGCAGUUUCUGACACUGAGGCGCGACAGCGUGGGGAGCAAACAGG
rnacentral:rRNA from 1 species